rnacentral:rRNA from 1 species
UACGUAGGGUGCAAGCGUUGUCCGGAAUUAUUGGGCGUAAAGAGCUCGUAGGCGGUUUGUCGCGUCGAAUGUGAAAACCCGGGGCUCAACCCCGGGCCUGCAUUCGAUACGGGCAGACUAGAGUUCGGUAGGGGAGUCUGGAAUUCCCGGUGUAGCGGUGAAAUGCGCAGAUAUCGGGAAGAACACCUAUGGCGAAGGCAGCUCUCUGGGACGGUACUGACGCUGAGACGCGAAAGCGUGGGGAGCGAACAGG